UAAUACGAAGGGGGCUAGCGUUGUUCGGAAUUACUGGGCGUAAAGCGUGCGCAGGCGGUCUCUCAAGUCAGGGGUGAAAGCCCAGAGCUCAACUCUGGAAUUGCCUUUGAAACUGUGAGGCUUGAGUGCGGGAGAGGUGAGUGGAAUUCCCAGUGUAGAGGUGAAAUUCGUAGAUAUUGGGAAGAACACCGGUGGCGAAGGCGGCUCACUGGCCCGUUUCUGACGCUCAUGCACGAUAGCGUGGGGAUCAAACAGG
rnacentral:rRNA from 1 species